ensembl:lncRNA
CCAACAGCUCUAAUGUACACUCAUACACUGUACAAAAUACAUGUUGUGUAUGAAGAUUGUGUGUCUGGUCUGUUCCGGUUCUGUGUUGUUUCUGUUUCUGGCUCCAGGUUUUUUUUUCAUCAUCGGUGUGUGUGUCUGUGUGGCUCUGCUGCUGAUUGGAGGAUUUGCACUGAUGAUCUACAAAAUGAGACACAAGAGAACACACGAUUCAACACCUUCAUCCACAGACAGUGAAGAGACCUUUGGGAAAUAACAGCGAAGAGACGUCCACUAGAACAUUUCUCAGUGUGCUGGAAAGAGCAAAAGAGUGAAGUGAACCUUGAGUCCAUGAUGACGAUCCUCCUCAUCUUCACCCUCUCCCUAAUAUCAGGUCCAGUGGGCUGUGUUGAUGUGAUCAGCUACUCUGGAGGAAGCGUCAUUAUGGUCUCUAAACUGUCCUGGAGUUCAGUAAAUAGUAACUAUAUUUGUAAAAUGGAAAACAGAAUUUGCACAGAUAUAUUAAGGUCAAACACUGGAGAGAGCAAUGUUCAAGUGGAACGAUUCACACUUUAUAGACAAAAAGACGGAUUUCUGACAAUGUUUAUCAGAAGGCUGAAGCCACAGGAUGCUGGAAGAUACAGCAUGCGUGUGGGAACUUGGAGCAGCCCUGAUGUGACCCUGAAAGUUGUUAAUGAUUCUUGUUGUUCUGGGCCAAACAUUAUGAAUGCUUAUCAAGGACAGAAUACCACCAUCAUCUGUAACUAUCCAGCGGUGUAUGAGAAAAACAACAAGCAUAUCAUGAAAAUUGAUAAAGACAGUGUUAUUAAACACAUUCUAGAAAUAAAUUCUCAGAAUGGCAGAUUCUCAGUUUCUGAUGACAGAAGUGCUAAAGUUCUCAUUGUGAACAUCGGUGACGUGAGAGAAGCUGAUGAUGGAGUUUAUUUAUGUGGAGCGCAUAUCGGACAGUGGUCAGUCCAGUAUUUCUCCUUCUUCACAGAGAUCCAGCUACAUGUUACAGCAACCACUACCUCCAUGAUGACAUCAGCAACACCAACAGAAAUCUCAUCUGAUGCAGCCAGAACUUCCACUGUCACCGUCAUCAUCAGUGUGUGUGUCUGUGUGGCUCUGCUGCUGAUUGGUGGAUUUGCACUGAUGGUCUACAAACUGAGACACAAGAGAAGACAAGUUACAGGUUUAACACCUUCAUCCAACAACAAUAACCAGGUCCCCCAUGCCGCUUGGAUCUAUGAGGAGAUUAACCACACCAACCAUGUUUCUGACUCAGAUACUGACAUUUAUAUGAAUGCUUCAUCACCCACUAACCCUGAUAAAGAGAUCUCCUCCACAGUACAACCACCCCAAGACCAAAAUCUCACUUACACCACUGUGAGUUUCAAGAAGAAUCCAGAUGAUGCUGCAGUCACCUUCAGUAAGGAGGAAUCUGCCACUGAAUACGCCACUGUCCAACACCACUCAGGACUGGAAUAAUUUGAUUAUGUUUUCAACAAAAUAUUCAUUCAUAAUUUCUUACAUUUAAUCAUACAAACAGCACAGCAGUAUUAAAUAAAUAAAAAUCUUAUUUUCAUAACCGAUAUCAUUUUGUUGGCACUUUUGAACAUGCUGCUGAAGUAAAAUAACAAAUAAAUGCCGCCUGGUAUGACAUUAAAUGUACCAUUUCCUAAUGUGA